CUGUUGGUCACCCUACCUGGCAGCCAGUGAUAAGUUUUCAUUUCCAGGCAUCCGCCCUGCCUGGAUCUCCUCACCUGCCAGGAACUUCCUCUCCACAAGCCGGCCAUCCCAGCAAAAGUUCUAACACCAAAGGUCUGGCAACUAGCCUGCCAUCUUGUGCCUGGAGCCGCCUGCGUGCCACCUACUCCCGAAGAUGGGAACCUUGUUGCCAGUUGGGCAGAUGCGGGGCAAUCCUGUACCAAGACCCCAUUUUACCACCUGCUUUCUCAGACCACUCUGGAACCCACUGUCUCAGAUUGUGUCCUCCAGGAAGCAGACCAUGAGAGGGAGUUGGCAGGGCCAAAGAUUUACUGGGGCUAACUAACACUCAGGAAAGGGAUAGGAAGGAAACAGGGCUGGAGAGCAGGUUGAGCCCGACCUGACAGUCUCGAGCAGCCCAACAGGGAGGUGUGGAGCAAGGGUUGCCCACUAGAGGGGCCUGCAUUGGGUACGGGUGAUGGGGUCCACAUGGUACCUGGCAUAUAGCAGGCUGUGCAAUCCAUAUUAACUGACUGGAUAAAUUAAUGCCCAGAAAAGGUGCCCUGGAGAAUGGGUGUGUGCUGAACACAAUAGGGAAGGGCCCAGCAUCUGCCUUGGCAUAGGCAGAACUGUGCUGUGCCCUGCAACAGGCCACCUGAGAGCUGCUUUGAUCUUGUGUGUACAUUAGAUGACUGCCAGGGGCAUGAAGGGGAUGUGCUUCCAGGGCAUUUGCUGGCAGGGCGUCUCGUGAUCUCUUGGUAUUGGUGUGAGCACAGCCUGGCAGGAGAGGGCAGAUCUCCAUGCAAAGUAUGUCAGAAAGCAGAUGGAAGCCAGGCCCCCUCCUGAAAGAGGCUCCUUGAAGGAGCCCAGAGAAGGUUCGUGGCUGGAGCAGACG
rnacentral:lncRNA from 10 species